rnacentral:snRNA from 1 species
AACAUUCUGAUCUUACACCGAACCA